AUUGAACGCUGGCGGCAGGCCUAACACAUGCAAGUCGAACGCGUGGCGGACGGGUGAGUAAUGUCUGGGAAACUGCCUGAUGGAGGGGGAUAACUACUGGAAACGGUAGCUAAUACCGCAUACCAUCAGAUGUGCCCAGAUGGGAUUUGCUAGUUGGUGGGGUAACGGCUCACCAAGGCGACGAUCCCUAGCUGGUCUGAGAGGAUGACCAGCCACUCUGGAACUGAGACGAGGUCCAGACUCCUACGGUCGGCGGGGGUGGGGAACAUGGCACAAUGGGAGCGAGCCGGAUGCAGCCGAGCGGCGUAUAUGAAGAAGGCCUUGGGAUUGUGAAGUACUUGCAUCGGGGGGGCGGGCGCCGCAGAAGAAGCACCGGCUAAAUCCAUGCCAGCAGCCGCGGUAAUAC
rnacentral:rRNA from 1 species